GCAGAUGAACCAAUAAGGGCUGGGGAGAGGAUGCUUCCUCCUGGAAUCGGAUCUGCAAUAGUGGUAUUCAGAAGAGAGGUGGGGUGGUGGCAGUUGCGCGGCACAGACGGGACGGACCCCCUGCUCAGAGGGUGCAAGCUGAAAAAGCCCCAGUGUGGCUUUGGAGCUGCGGUAUAAAGGCUGGUGGUACCAUGUCAUGCGAGUUGCCAUGUGCGUCACCCAGUGGAAAACACGUUUGGACUGCUGUGCUGCCAUCACCUGAAUAGGCAGAGGCUCUGUCCCUUAGGCCUCAGGCACCUAACGUUUAACCUGCCUCCUGGAAAAUAUUUCUUAUCAAGUAUUUACUUUAUUAAAAAUUUACUUUAUUAAAAAUCAUUAACCAUGUUCUUUAAUAUUUACUGACAUUUGUGUUUUAAGCUGUAUACCAAUGUUCACACUUGACAUUGAUUUUCUAACCAUUAGAGAUAUUUAAAUAAAACUUGUAAAUAAAAGGAGC
rnacentral:lncRNA from 1 species